rnacentral:lncRNA from 1 species
GGAAGUGAUAGUAAUGAUACAAGAGGUUUUUGUGGGACAUAUAAUGUGGAGGUAGAGGAAGGUGGGAGUAAGUAUGUAGGUGGGCCUAGUGGGGUUAAUGAAGUCAACAUUAGUGGGUUUCAUGGGUUAGAAAAUAAGGUAGAAGUGGGUGGUAGUGAAAUAGUCUUAUAAGAAGAUGAAUUAGAUGAUGAAGAGAUUCAAGAAAUUAGGGUAAAAUAUAAAGAG